rnacentral:rRNA from 1 species
CAGUAGCCACGGUAACACGGAGGGGGCUAGCGUUGUUCGGAAUUACUGGGCGUAAAGCGCACGUAGGCGGCUUGGUAAGUUAGAGGUGAAAGCCUGGAGCUCAACUCCAGAAUUGCCUUUAAGACUGCCGAGCUAGCAGGUGAGAGAGGUAAGUGGAAUUCCGAGUGUAGAGGUGAAAUUCGUAGAUAUUCGGAAGAACACCAGUGGCGAAGGCGGCUUACUGGCUCAUACUGGACACUGAGGUGCGAAAGCGUGGGGAGCAAACAGGAUUAGAUACCCCAGUAGUCCCUGUCUCUUAUAC